rnacentral:rRNA from 1 species
UAGGGAAUCUUCCGCAAUGGACGAAAGUCUGACGGAGCAACGCCGCGUGAGUGAAGAAGGAUUUCGGUUCGUAAAACUCUGUUGUUAGGGAAGAAAAAAUGUAUAGUAACUAUAUACAAAAGAGACGGUACCUAACCAGAAAGCCACGGCUAACUACGUGCCAGCAGCCGCGGUGAUACGUAGGUGGCAAGCGUUGUCCGGAAUUAUUGGGCGUAAAGCGCGCGCAGGUGGUUUAGAAAGUCUGAUGUGAAAGCCCACGGCUCAACCGUGGAGGGUCAUUGGAAACUAAUAAACUUGAGUGCAGGAGAGAAAAGUGGAAUUCCUAGUGUAGCGGUGAAAUGCGUAGAGAUUAGGAGGAACACCGGUGGCGAAAGCGGCUUUUUGGCCUGCAACUGACACUGAGGCGCGAAAGCGUGGGGAGCAAACAGG